AUUAUUGUAACCAUGCAGGAGACAGGCCCAUAUUAUUGUAACCAUGCAGGAGACAGGCCCAUAUUAUUUAACCAUGCAGGAGACAGGCCCAUAUUAUUGUAACCAUGCAGGAGACAGGUCCAUAUUAUUUAACCAUGCAGGAGACAGGUCCAUAUUAUUUAACCAUGCAGGAGACAGGUCCAUAUUAUUUAACCAUGCAGGAGACAGGCCCAUAUUAUUGUAACCAUGCAGGAGACAGGUCCAUAUUAUGUGAAGAGCUGGAGGAAACGGGUACAAAAGUAUCUACAGUUGAAGUCGGAAGUUUGCGUACACCUUAGCCAAAUGCAUUUACAUUUCUGACA
ensembl:lncRNA